UUGGAGGUAUAAAGUUUUGAUGUGGACUAGUGAAAUUGGAAGGCAUGCUUACCUUUUUUGUGGAUUGUUUUUGCAUUAUCCCAAUUGGUGAGGUAUAACAGAAGAUAUGAUGGGAUGGUGUGACAGGAUACCAGGCCUGUAAGAAAAAGCCAAUUUCUUUCAAAUCCCAGUUCACAUCUCCAGCAACAUAUCAUCAAGGACAAACAACCAGAGAUGUUGGGUUCUCACCAAAUCUGUUUCUUCAUAUGGUUUGAGUAUUUUGUCAAGAUUGGACAAAGAAGAAUCAUUCAGCCACCAAUCAGUUGAUUCUUUGCUGCCCAGGAUUACAGGCAUCCUAUCUGCAAUGGGGUAACAAAUAAUCAAACAAUUGCUGCGAAUACGAAUGCAGACAGACAUGAGUUUGAAAUCAAAUUGAUCCCCCAAAACAGCAGCCAUGGCUGAGAGAUGUUGUACUUGAAUGAACAAACUACAUUAUGAUCUGUUCAAGUGGAAGUGUAUUUCAUCAUCAAAAGGAGGGAAAGUACAAACCAUGAAGCCAUUCCAGAGAUGAUGAGGAUGAAGUAGUGAUAAUAGUGAAGGUGUAAAGCGUUUCUCCUGAAUAAUGAAUGGGAAAAACAGUACAAAAAUGGCUCAGCAAAAGUGCAUUGGUCGUAGUCUUAUGGACAUGUUCUUCAUUAAUGUGUAUUUCACCUUCUGAAUUUUUCCAAGAAUCGAAUAGAGCAGCAAAAACCAUUGGACGAUCGUCCUUAAA